rfam:Felis catus isolate Cinnamon breed Abyssinian chromosome C2, whole genome shotgun sequence.
UCCUGGGUGGCUCAGUAGGUUAAGCAUCUGACUUUGGCUCAGGUCAUGAUCUCGCAGCUCAUGGGUUCAAGUCCCAUGUCGGGCU